UGUCGUUGUCCUGACAACGAGUCUCAAGAGCAGCUGAUUACUUGUAACAGACAGUAAAUCAGCGUCUUUUCCGUAGUGUCUACUGCAGGAUGGAUAUAAAAGUAUAAAACACGUUUUGGUUUGACAACAUCGUUCAUAUGUGAACUAUCACAAUUAAAGCACAAAGACAUAACAUUACACCCCGAGACCUUUCACAAGUGCUACAAAAGAUUAGAAACGCUUUCCGGAAGAAGUUCAUCAGGCGAGGUGGAGACUAGUCGACUCAUCCAGUUUAGCGGUGAGUAUAAUGUCUAAUGUCCUCAUAUAUCUUUAGUUAUAAUUUCAGAGAGAUGUAAAAAGACUUGACGGAUAUCUUAUUCAACCCGCUGAGAGGAGAAGAUGAUGAGAGGAAACGCCGCUGCAGUGCUGAUCUGUAGCGCGCGCGGGUCACUGCGCAGAACUGAAGUCUGAGAGGAAGACAAAACAACUGGUUUAAGGUUGUUUUACUACACUUUUACUAUAAUAAACACCAACAUCCCAAUCCAACCAGUGACAACCCUGUGUAUAGAUUUAUUUAAUUAUGCUAUGGCUCAGCAAUUUGUUAUAAGCAGUUCUGUAGAAAUUAGUCAUGUUAUUGUCCAGCUCAGUUCAGUUCUCAAUAGCAUCAGUACAUCAUUUACAAUAAUGGAAUAAACAAAAUUGUACUGAAUACAGUGUAUUUGUUUGUUUCUAGGAGAGCAUCAACCCCUAAUUGACAUGAGGAAAAAAAUCAUUGAAAGGUGUUCAGUGUACAGUGUACCUCUCUUUGCAACAGAAGAAGCAUUAGGAAAGAGGAGAAGAUAGAAACUGAAAAGGCACUCAACAGAUGUUGGAAAAUGCACUGGUAACAACUAAAAAAAGACAACCAAAAAUAUAAUUCAACAGAGGAUGAUGCCUGUGGUGAAACAAGCACUCAAAUAAUGAAACUAAGACCAGUGGGAGUGCUGGAGAAAUCAAGUGAAUAAGUCCUCUGUCGUCUCAGCCAUGGAAGAGAUCUUCAGACAUGAAGAGAUCGAGGAGUUAAAUGAAAUCAAAGAGCUAAAAGAAGAUUUACAAUACUAGUGCCAUUUCAGUAUGAAAACAGAGAGAGAGCUGAGGGAAUGGAAAGACUACAUCCAAAAUAGUGUUUCCACAUCUGAGAUGAAGGCAGUCAUAAGAACCAAGCGGAACGAUGAGGAUAAGCUCUUCAGAAAAUGAAACCUGUCUGAAUAACGAGGGAAGAAAUGUGCAUGAUUGCGUGAUUUGUAAAUAAACACUAAAUACAUUUAGUGUAACUCUCAGCCUGUUAUUUUAAGUUUAAAGAAAAGUAAAAUCAUUUAUUGUUGCAUUGCUGUUUGAGACAUUCACUGUUGUUUUGUAC